rnacentral:rRNA from 1 species
GAGUUUGAUCCUGGCUCAGGGGGGGACGGCUAUGUUGUGACGACGUCCCAGCGAGGGACGCCUUUCGGGGUGGUGCCCUAGCGGCGAACGGUGAGUAACACGUGGGCAACCUGCCCUCAGCUCUGGGAUAACUCCAAGAAAUUGGUGCUAAUACCGGAUGUGACCGCUGACCGCAUGGUCUGGUGGUGGAAAGAUUCAUCGGCUGAGGAUGGGCCCGCGGCCUAUCAGCUUGUUGGUGGGGUAAUGGCCCACCAAGGCGACGACGGGUAGCCGGCCUGAGAGGGUGACCGGCCACACUGGGACUGAGACACGGCCCAGACUCCUACGGGAGGCAGCAGUGGGGAAUAUUGCGCAAUGGGCGAAAGCCUGACGCAGCGACGCCGCGUGAGGGAUGACGGCCUUCGGGUUGUAAACCUCUUUCAGCAGGGACGAAGCGAAAGUGACGGUACCUGCAGAAGAAGCACCGGCCAACUACGUGCCAGCAGCCGCGGUAAUACGUAGGGUGCAAGCGUUGUCCGGAAUUAUUGGGCGUAAAGAGCUCGUAGGCGGUCUGUCACGUCGGCUGUGAAAACCCGAGGCUCAACCUCGGGCCUGCAGUCGAUACGGGCAAACUAGAGUGUUGCAGGGGAGACUGGAAUUCCUGGUGUAGCGGUGAAAUGCGCAGAUAUCAGGAGGAACACCGGUGGCGAAGGCGGGUCUCUGGGCAACAACUGACGCUGAGGAGCGAAAGCGUGGGGAGCGAACAGGAUUAGAUACCCUGGUAGUCCACGCCGUAAACGUUGGGCGCUAGGUGUGGGGGCCAUUCCACGGUCUCCGUGCCGCAGCUAACGCAUUAAGCGCCCCGCCUGGGGAGUACGGCCGCAAGGCUAAAACUCAAAGGAAUUGACGGGGGCCCGCACAAGCGGCGGAGCAUGUUGCUUAAUUCGAUGCAACGCGAAGAACCUUACCUAGGCUUGACAUGCACGGAAAUCUGCCAGAGAUGGCAGGUCCUUUAAAGGGUCGUGCACAGGUGGUGCAUGGUUGUCGUCAGCUCGUGUCGUGAGAUGUUGGGUUAAGUCCCGCAACGAGCGCAACCCUCGUUCUAUGUUGCCAGCACGUGAUGGUGGGGACUCAUAGGAGACUGCCGGGGUCAACUCGGAGGAAGGUGGGGAUGACGUCAAAUCAUCAUGCCCCUUAUGUCUAGGGCUGCAAACAUGCUACAAUGGCCGGUACAAAGGGCUGCGAUACCGCGAGGUGGAGCGAAUCCCAAAAAGCCGGUCUCAGUUCGGAUUGGGGUCUGCAACUCGACCCCAUGAAGUUGGAGUCGCUAGUAAUCGCAGAUCAGCAACGCUGCGGUGAAUACGUUCCCGGGCCUUGUACACACCGCCCGUCACGUCACGAAAGUCGGUAACGCCCGAAGCCGGUGGCCCAACCCCUUGUGGGAGGGAGCCGUCGAAGGCGGGAUCGGCGAUUGGGACGAAGUCGUAACAAGGUAGCCGUACCGGAAGGUGCGGCUGGAUCACCUCCUUUCU